CCUACGGGUGACAGCAGUGAGGAAUAUUGGUCAAUGGGCGGAAGCCUGAACCAGCCAAGUAGCGUGCGGGAUGAAGGCCCUACGGGUCGUAAACCGCUUUUGCACGGGGAUAACACCCUCCACUUGUGAGGUUUGCCGGUACCGUUCGAAUUAGGGCCGGCGAAUUCCGUGCCAGGAGCCGCGGUAAUUCGGAAGGCCCGAGCGUUAUCCGGAUUCAAUGGGCUAAAAGGGGGCGGAGGCGGGCGGUCAAUGUAGCUGUAAAAUCGCGCGGCUCAACCGCGCCCCGCAGUUGAAACUGGACGCCUUGAGUUCACAACAGGCAGGCGGAAUUCGUGGUGUAGCGGUGAAAUGCAUAGAUAUCACGAGGAACCCCGAUUGCGAAGGCAGACUGCCGGGGUGCGACUGACGCUGAGGCUCGAAGGUGCGGGUAUCAAACAGGAUUAGAUACCCCUGUAGUC
rnacentral:rRNA from 1 species